AACGCACAUUGCGCCCUUUGGUAUUCCGAAGGGCAUGCCUGCUCGAGCGUCAUCUAAAUAUCAAGCGCUGCUUGGUCUUGAGCGUGGUCCCGUCGGACCAGCUUGCAACUUGUUGGCGGUACCGCCCAGCUUCAAGCGUAGCAGAAUAUGCUCCGGAGCUGGCUGUGCCCGCCUAGCAAAUCCACCUAGAGUUUGACCUCGGAUCAGGUAGGGAUACCCGCUGAACUUAA
rnacentral:misc_RNA from 1 species